rnacentral:rRNA from 1 species
GACGGAGGGUGCUAGCGUUGUUCGGAAUCACUGGGCGUAAAGGGCGCGCAGGCGGCCCCUCGCGUCGGACGUGAAAAUCCGGGGCUCAACCCCGGGCUUGCAGUGGGUACGGGCAGACUAGAGUGUGGUAGGGGAGACUGGAAUUCCUGGUGUAGCGGUGGAAUGCGCAGAUAUCAGGAGGAACACCGGUGGCGAAGGCGGGUCUCUGGGCCGAUACUGACGCUGAGGAGCGAAAGCGUGGGGAGCGAACAGG